rnacentral:rRNA from 1 species
UAAAACUCAAAGGAAUUGAGGGGGGCCCGCACAAGCGGUGGAGCAUGUGGUUUAAUUCGACGCAACGCGCAGAACCUUACCAGCCCUUGACAUGUCCAGGACCGGUCGCAGAGAUGUGACCUUCUCUUCGGAGCCUGGAGCACAGGUGCUGCAUGGCUGUCGUCAGCUCGUGUCGUGAGAUGUUGGGUUAAGUCCCGCAACGAGCGCAACCCUCGCCCUUAGUUGCCAUCAUUUAGUUGGGCACUCUAAGGGGACUGCCGGUGAUAAGCCGAGAGGAAGGUGGGGAUGACGUCAAGUC